GACACCAGGAGUCCAGGCCCUGACUCCUUUGUGUCUCAGCUUGACCCCUUGAGACCACCCUCUUGCUUGGAGGUUUAUGCCAGCGGUGAGCUGGAGUCCUACCUCCUAUAUCCUGGUGGGUCACAAAUACUAACUUUAAAAGAAGCAAUGACACCCCCACCAGACACCCACUCCUGUGAAUAUGGAAAUAUGGCCCGGGAACCUCACUGCCGGGAAUACUCACCGGGUUAUACUCCCAAUAUGCCAGGAGGAUGUAGAAUAGUUCCCGCUGCCUAGGAAACAGAGAAAGGGGGCUUUGGUUUGUUUUGUGCAGAUGCUGUUAGUUUCACUUUGUCUACAAAGCCUAACAGCAAAUCCCAUUUCAGGUUCAGAUGAUUCACCAGAUAAGCAGUGAGCUCUUCAGGGCCUGAGACUGUUGAAGAAAUGUUUCAGUAAAAUCCACAUCUGUGACAUACAAAUAGCCCAGUUGUACAGUGACUUACCUGAUCCUUUUCACUGUGAAUGAUUUUUUUUUUUUUUCAGUUUGCACACACACCAGUUCAGUCUUUGGGUGUACAGUUCCUCCAGCGUCCUAAACCAAUGUGCAGAGUCUCCCGGCCACUGCUCCAGCCCCUCCUGGAGCAACUCCUUCAUCCUCCAAGUCUCCAGGGUGGCCCACAUGCACCCAGCCUCUCCCCGAUCCGUCAGCCCGUGGCCACCCAGACUGCUUCUCAGUCCCUAUGGUUUGGCCUUUUCCAGAAUGGCCUAGGAAUGGGAAUCCUUCUGUGGUAGCUU
rnacentral:antisense_RNA from 1 species